UACGGAAUGUGCAAACGUUAUUCGGAAUCACUGGGCUUAAAGGGUUCGUAGGUGGCUUGCUAAGUCAGACGUGAAAUCCCUCAGCUUAACUGGGGAACUGCGUCUGAGACUGGUGAGCUUGAGUGCAGGAGAGGAACGCGGAAUUCCAGGUGUAGCGGUGAAAUGCGUAGAUAUCUGGAGGAACACCGGUGGCGAAGGCGGCGUUCUGGACUGCUACUGACACUGAGGAACGAAAGCCAGGGGAGCAAACGGG
rnacentral:rRNA from 1 species